GACAACGGGUUGAUAUUCCCGUACCGGCGAAGAACCGCCCAAGCUAAUCCAGUGGUGCUAAGAGUCCUAGCUCGGAAUGUUCCGGAUCUUCGGGGUGAUGGUCGUCCGUGUGAACGCUCGACCCCAUGCUGGUGCGGCUAGCGUAUUAACAGGUGUGACGCAGGAAGGUAGCCCAAGCCAGGCGAUGGUUGUCCUGGUGCAAGUGCGUAGGCCGACUCUUAGGCAAAUCCGGGAGUCAUGCAGGCUGAGACAUGAKCGAGMAAAGGGUGGUGAUCCUAUGCUGCCGAGAAAAGCAUCGACGCGAGGUUCUAGCUGCCCGUACCCCAAACCGACUCAGGUGGUCAGGUAGAGAAUACCAAGGAGAUCGAGAGAAUCGUGGUUAAGGAACUCGGCAAAAUGCCCCCGUAACUUCGGGAGAAGGGGGGCCAUCCACUUACUAGGACUUGCUCCGAAAGGGUGUGGUGGCCGCAGAGACUAGUGGGU
rnacentral:ncRNA from 1 species